rnacentral:rRNA from 1 species
UGCAGUCGAACGGCAGCACAGUAAGAGCUUGCUCUUAUGGGUGGCGAGUGGCGGACGGGUGAGGAAUACAUCGGAAUCUACCUUUUCGUGGGGGAUAACGUAGGGAAACUUACGCUAAUACCGCAUACGACCUUCGGGUGAAAGCAGGGGACCUUCGGGCCUUGCGCGGAUAGAUGAGCCGAUGUCGGAUUAGCUAGUUGGCGGGGUAAAGGCCCACCAAGGCGACGAUCCGUAGCUGGUCUGAGAGGAUGAUCAGCCACACUGGAACUGAGACACGGUCCAGACUCCUACGGGAGGCAGCAGUGGGGAAUAUUGGACAAUGGGCGCAAGCCUGAUCCAGCCAUACCGCGUGGGUGAAGAAGGCCUUCGGGUUGUAAAGCCCUUUUGUUGGGAAAGAAAAGCAGUCGAUUAAUACUCGGUUGUUCUGACGGUACCCAAAGAAUAAGCACCGGCUAACUUCGUGCCAGCAGCCGCGGUAAUACGAAGGGUGCAAGCGUUACUCGGAAUUACUGGGCGUAAAGCGUGCGUAGGUGGUUGUUUAAGUCUGUUGUGAAAGCCCUGGGCUCAACCUGGGAAUUGCAGUGGAUACUGGGCGACUAGAGUGUGGUAGAGGGUAGUGGAAUUCCCGGUGUAGCAGUGAAAUGCGUAGAGAUCGGGAGGAACAUCCAUGGCGAAAGGCAGCUACCUGGACCAACACUGACACUGAGGCACGAAAGCG